GGCAGAAUGGCCGAGUGGUCUAUGGCGACGGUCUCAAGUUCCGUUCACGAAAGUGGCCGGGGUUCGAAUCCCCGUUCUGUCA